GACGAACGCUGGCGGCGUGCUUAACACAUGCAAGUCGAACGGUAAGGCCCUUCGGGGUACACGAGUGGCGAACGGGUGAGUAACACGUGGGUGAUCUGCCCUGCACUUCGGGAUAAGCCUGGGAAACUGGGUCUAAUACCGGAUAGGACCACUGCCUGCAUGGGUGGUGGUGGAAAGCUUUUGCGGUGUGGGAUGGGCCCGCGGCCUAUCAGCUUGUUGGUGGGGUGAUGGCCUACCAAGGCAACGACGGGUAGCCGGCCUGAGAGGGUGACCGGCCACACUGGGACUGAGAUACGGCCCAGACUCCUACGGGAGGCAGCAGUGGGGAAUAUUGCACAAUGGGCGCAAGCCUGAUGCAGCGACGCCGCGUGAGGGAUGACGGCCUUCGGGUUGUAAACCUCUUUCAGCACCGACGAAGCGCAAGUGACGGUACCUAUAGAAUAAGGACCGGCUAACUACGUGCCAGCCGCCGCAGUAA
rnacentral:rRNA from 1 species